GGCUUGUUACCCAUUUCUUCCGCAUUCCUGAGACGACUUUUAAUACAACCUUCCGGAAUUGCAUGUAUAGGCUCUCGUCCCUUUACCGAACCCUUUGGACGACCACGUCCGCGCUUCUGCUCCUAGAGUAACUGCAUCCCCUGAUUAACUUGCUCCUCUAACCUAAUAAUACGACUCGCCAUGUCAUCCGGAGAAGAAAUUGAUUUAUUAUCAAAAUCAACUUCCUUAAUCGGCGAAUUAACCCGCUGGCUCGCUGAAUCUUCUGCCCCAACUACCGGUUGUUGCUCUACUACAGCUCCACUAUUCGUUCCAGAAU
rnacentral:lncRNA from 1 species